AACGAACGCUGGCGGCAUGCCUAACACAUGCAAGUCGAACGAGACCUCCGGGUCUAGUGGCGCACGGGUGCGUAACGCGUGGGAACCUGCCCUUAGGUUCGGAAUAACUCCCCGAAAGGGGUGCUAAUACCGGAUAAUGUCUUCGGACCAAAGAUUUAUCGACUUUGGAUGGGCCCGCGUUGGAUUAGCUAGUUGGUAGGGUAAAAGCCUACCAAGGCGACGAUCCAUAGCUGGUCUGAGAGGAUGAUCAGCCACACUGGGACUGAGACACGGCCCAGACUCCUACGGGAGGCAGCAGUGGGUAAUAUUGGACAACGGGCGAAAGCCUGAUCCAGCAAUGCCGGGUGAGUGAUGAAGUCCUUAGGGUUGUAAAGCGCUUUUACCCGGGAUGAUAAUGACAGUACCGGGAGAAUAAGCUCCGGCUAACUCCGUG
rnacentral:rRNA from 1 species